AUAGAGACUCAGAGCUGCAUAUCAAUAAGCGGAGGAAAAGAAACUAACUAGGAUUCCCUCAGUAACGGCGAGUGAAGCGGGAAGAGCUCAAAUUUGAAAUCUUCAAGGUUUUACCUUGACGAAUUGUAGUUUAAAGAAGUGUUUUCUGUUGGUGUUUUGGUAAAAGUUCUUUGGAAUAGGACAUCAUAGAGAGUGAGAAUCCCGUAUUUGACCAUUACUUCCAGCGUUGUGAUACACUUUCAAAGAGUCGGAUUGUUUGGGAAUGCAGUCCAAAAUGGGUGGUAAAUUUCAUCUAAAGCUAAAUAUUGGCGAGAGACCGAUAGCGAACAAGUACCGUGAGGGAAAGAUGAAAAGAACUUUGAAAAGAGAGUUAAACAGUACGUGAAAUUGUCAAAAGGGAAGCGUUUGACACCAGUGUUGUUUUUCCGAAAAUCAAUUAAGAAUGUUUUAGUUUUUGAGGAGUUAUGACUUCAUCGGCUUGCUCCUUUCUUUAUGAAACUUUCUUAAUGCACUUUUCGGUUAACAAGUCAACAUCAAUUUCUUUUGUUGUAAAAGAGUCAUGAGGAAGGUGGCUUUCUUUUCGGAGAAAGUGUUUAUAGCCUUGGACUUCUGCAAUCGGAGAGAUUGAGGUCUGCAGCGUAGAUCCUUCGGGGUUAGAUGCAUUUGUGCUAAGUUAUAGCCUUUCAUAGACAACUUGUUGACUAUGAUCAGUCAUGUAGCUUACUCGCUGAUGUCAUUUUACCUACGCUUAGGAUGUUGAUAUGCAUGACUGAUAU
rnacentral:rRNA from 1 species